rnacentral:rRNA from 1 species
GGGUUGUGAGGUUAAGCGACUAAGCGUACACGGUGGAUGCCCUGGCAGUCAGAGGCGAUGAAGGACGUGCUAAUCUGCGAUAAGCGUCGGUAAGGUGAUAUGAACCGUUAUAACCGGCGAUUUCCGAAUGGGGAAACCCAGUGUGUUUCGACACACUAUCAUUAACUGAAUCCAUAGGUUAAUGAGGCGAACCGGGGGAACUGAAACAUCUAAGUACCCCGAGGAAAAGAAAUCAACCGAGAUUCCCCCAGUAGCGGCGAGCGAACGGGGAGCAGCCCAGAGCCUGAAUCAGUGUGUGUGUUAGUGGAAGCGUCUGGAAAGGCGCGCGAUACAGGGUGACAGCCCCGUACACAAAAAUGCACAUGCUGUGAGCUCGAUGAGUAGGGCGGGACACGUGGUAUCCUGUCUGAAUAUGGGGGGACCAUCCUCCAAGGCUAAAUACUCCUGACUGACCGAUAGUGAACCAGUACCGUGAGGGAAAGGCGAAAAGAACCCCGGCGAGGGGAGUGAAAAAGAACCUGAAACCGUGUACGUACAAGCAGUGGGAGCCUCUUUUAUGGGGUGACUGCGUACCUUUUGUAUAAUGGGUCAGCGACUUAUAUUCUGUAGCAAGGUUAACCGAAUAGGGGAGCCGAAGGGAAACCGAGUCUUAACUGGGCGUUAAGUUGCAGGGUAUAGACCCGAAACCCGGUGAUCUAGCCAUGGGCAGGUUGAAGGUUGGGUAACACUAACUGGAGGACCGAACCGACUAAUGUUGAAAAAUUAGCGGAUGACUUGUGGCUGGGGGUGAAAGGCCAAUCAAACCGGGAGAUAGCUGGUUCUCCCCGAAAGCUAUUUAGGUAGCGCCUCGUGAAUUCAUCUCCGGGGGUAGAGCACUGUUUCGGCAAGGGGGUCAUCCCGACUUACCAACCCGAUGCAAACUGCGAAUACCGGAGAAUGUUAUCACGGGAGACACACGGCGGGUGCUAACGUCCGUCGUGAAGAGGGAAACAACCCAGACCGCCAGCUAAGGUCCCAAAGUCAUGGUUAAGUGGGAAACGAUGUGGGAAGGCCCAGACAGCCAGGAUGUUGGCUUAGAAGCAGCCAUCAUUUAAAGAAAGCGUAAUAGCUCACUGGUCGAGUCGGCCUGCGCGGAAGAUGUAACGGGGCUAAACCAUGCACCGAAGCUGCGGCAGCGACACUAUGUGUUGUUGGGUAGGGGAGCGUUCUGUAAGCCUGUGAAGGUGUGCUGUGAGGCAUGCUGGAGGUAUCAGAAGUGCGAAUGCUGACAUAAGUAACGAUAAAGCGGGUGAAAAGCCCGCUCGCCGGAAGACCAAGGGUUCCUGUCCAACGUUAAUCGGGGCAGGGUGAGUCGACCCCUAAGGCGAGGCCGAAAGGCGUAGUCGAUGGGAAACAGGUUAAUAUUCCUGUACUUGGUGUUACUGCGAAGGGGGGACGGAGAAGGCUAUGUUGGCCGGGCGACGGUUGUCCCGGUUUAAGCGUGUAGGCUGGUUUUCCAGGCAAAUCCGGAAAAUCAAGGCUGAGGCGUGAUGACGAGGCACUACGGUGCUGAAGCAACAAAUGCCCUGCUUCCAGGAAAAGCCUCUAAGCAUCAGGUAACAUCAAAUCGUACCCCAAACCGACACAGGUGGUCAGGUAGAGAAUACCAAGGCGCUUGAGAGAACUCGGGUGAAGGAACUAGGCAAAAUGGUGCCGUAACUUCGGGAGAAGGCACGCUGAUAUGUAGGUGAAGUCCCUCGCGGAUGGAGCUGAAAUCAGUCGAAGAUACCAGCUGGCUGCAACUGUUUAUUAAAAACACAGCACUGUGCAAACACGAAAGUGGACGUAUACGGUGUGACGCCUGCCCGGUGCCGGAAGGUUAAUUGAUGGGGUCAGCGCAAGCGAAGCUCUUGAUCGAAGCCCCGGUAAACGGCGGCCGUAACUAUAACGGUCCUAAGGUAGCGAAAUUCCUUGUCGGGUAAGUUCCGACCUGCACGAAUGGCGUAAUGAUGGCCAGGCUGUCUCCACCCGAGACUCAGUGAAAUUGAACUCGCUGUGAAGAUGCAGUGUACCCGCGGCAAGACGGAAAGACCCCGUGAACCUUUACUAUAGCUUGACACUGAACAUUGAGCCUUGAUGUGUAGGAUAGGUGGGAGGCUUAGAAGUGUGGACGCCAGUCUGCAUGGAGCCGACCUUGAAAUACCACCCUUUAAUGUUUGAUGUUCUAACGUGGACCCGUGAUCCGGGUUGCGGACAGUGUCUGGUGGGUAGUUUGACUGGGGCGGUCUCCUCCUAAAGAGUAACGGAGGAGCACGAAGGUUGGCUAAUCCUGGUCGGACAUCAGGAGGUUAGUGCAAUGGCAUAAGCCAGCUUGACUGCGAGCGUGACGGCGCGAGCAGGUGCGAAAGCAGGUCAUAGUGAUCCGGUGGUUCUGAAUGGAAGGGCCAUCGCUCAACGGAUAAAAGGUACUCCGGGGAUAACAGGCUGAUACCGCCCAAGAGUUCAUAUCGACGGCGGUGUUUGGCACCUCGAUGUCGGCUCAUCACAUCCUGGGGCUGAAGUAGGUCCCAAGGGUAUGGCUGUUCGCCAUUUAAAGUGGUACGCGAGCUGGGUUUAGAACGUCGUGAGACAGUUCGGUCCCUAUCUGCCGUGGGCGCUGGAGAACUGAGGGGGGCUGCUCCUAGUACGAGAGGACCGGAGUGGACGCAUCACUGGUGUUCGGGUUGUCAUGCCAAUGGCACUGCCCGGUAGCUAAAUGCGGAAGAGAUAAGUGCUGAAAGCAUCUAAGCACGAAACUUGCCCCGAGAUGAGUUCUCCCUGACUCCUUGAGAGUCCUGAAGGAACGUUGAAGACGACGACGUUGAUAGGCCGGGUGUGUAAGCGCAGCGAUGCGUUGAGCUAACCGGUACUAAUGAACCGUGAGGCUUAACCUUACAACGCCGAAGCUGUU